rfam:Triticum aestivum genome assembly, contig: Triticum_aestivum_CS42_TGACv1_scaffold_050761_1BS
CAUGUACUCCCUCCGUCCGGAAAUACUUGUCAUCAAAAUGAAUAAAAGGGGAUCUAUUUAGAUGUAUUUUAGUUUUAGAUACAUCCUUUUUUGUCCAUUUUGAUGACAAGUAUUUUCGGAUGGAGGGAGUACGUG